GGAAUGCUGGGAUUCCAGGUGCAUGCCUUUGCAUCCAGCAAUGUGGAAGGACCAGUUUGGUUGGGUGGCGUGGAUGAAGGUUCUCAGUAGGUCCCCGGCAAGGAGGGGGACACAUUCCUACUGAAAAGAGGACAAAACAGAGGCCAGAGGAGGCUUCCUUCUCUUGAAGAUGGACAGCUGUGUGUCCCUGAUGAUCCUGGGUGAUGGGGUCUCACCUCCUCCAGCCCUCACCCCUUCCUCUCAUUUGGACCCACGAAGCCUCUUUCCACCCCAGGGUCUCAAGAGUCUUCACAACCAGAACUUCUCUGCCCUCACCCUCUCUGCUCUUGGCCAGCUCUGCCAGCCACCAGGUUCCCAGGGAAAUGUCCAGAAGCCACCCCUCAGCCCCAGCAUAGCUUGAGGUCCCAUCUAACCUCACAGCCUCUCUGGCCUUUGGGACACUUUCCCCAACUAUACUUGACAACUACAAUAGUUACUGUGCA